rnacentral:rRNA from 1 species
AUUAGGAAUCUUGCGCAAUGGGCGAAAGCCUGACGCAGCGACGCCGCGUGACCGAUGAAGUCCUUCGGGAUGUAAAGGUCUUUUGCCAGGGAAGAAGAACGUGACGGUACCUGGCGAAUAAGCCCCGGCUAACUACGUGCCAGCAGCCGCGGUAAGACGUAGGGGGCGAGCGUUGUCCGAAGUCACUGGGCGUAAAGCGCGCGUAGGCGGCCUCUUAAGUUGGGUGUGAAAUCCUGCGGCCCAACCGCAGAACUGCAUCCAAAACUGGGAGGCUUGAGGACGGAAGAGGGCAGUGGAAUUCCUGGUGUAGCGGUGAAAUGCGUAGAUAUCAGGAGGAACACCCGUGGCGAAGGCGGCUGCCUGGUCCGUAUCUGACGCUGAGGUGCGAAAGCCAGGGGAGCGAAC